GGAGAGAUGCCCGAGAGGCUGAAGGGGGCUGACUCGAAAUCAGUUGUUCCGGUAACGGAACCGGGGGUUCAAAUCCCUCUCUCUCCGCCA
rnacentral:tRNA from 1 species